rnacentral:pre_miRNA from 1 species
AUCACCUGGGGAUCUUGUUAAAAUGCACAUUUUCUUUAAUAGGUCUAGAGUCUGCAUUUCUAACAAGCUCCUGAGUGAUGGCAA